rnacentral:rRNA from 1 species
AUUGAACGCUGGCGGCAUGCUUUACACAUGCAAGUCGAACGGUAACAGGUUAAGCUGACGAGUGGCGAACGGGUGAGUAAUGCAUCGGAACGUGCCCGGUCGUGGGGGAUAACGCAGCGAAAGCUGCGCUAAUACCGCAUACGAUCUGAGGAUGAAAGUGGGGGACCGUAAGGCCUCGCGCGAUCGGAGCGGCCGAUGUCAGAUUAGGUAGUUGGUGAGGUAAAGGCUCACCAAGCCAACGAUCUGUAGCUGGUCUGAGAGGACGACCAGCCACACUGGGACUGGGACACGGCCCAGACUCCUACGGGAGGCAGCAGUGGGGAAUUUUGGACAAUGGGCGAAAGCCUGAUCCAGCAAUGCCGCGUGCAGGAAGAAGGCCUUCGGGUUGUAAACUGCUUUUGUACGGAGCGAAAAGGCUCUCUCUAAUACAGGGGGCUCAUGACGGUACCGUAAGAAUAAGUACCGGCUAACUACGUGCCAGCCGCCGCGGUAA